rnacentral:misc_RNA from 1 species
CGCACAUUGCGCUCCCUGGUAUUCCUAGGAGCAUGUCUGUCUGAGCGUCAGUACACACCCUCUGAUCUUCGAUUUUUGUUGUCGAUCGGGUACUGAGCGGGGAGAGCGCGCGAGCGUGAGCCCCCCCUCUAAAGUGGAAAGCCAGCGGCCCGCCUGCCCAUGAAAGACGUAGUAAGCUAAAGACCUCGUCCGCGAAAGGGUUCCAAGGUGUCAGGCUCGCCUCGAAACUAUUCUAAGGUUUGACCUCAGAUCAGACAAGAUUACCCGCUGAACUUAA